rnacentral:rRNA from 1 species
UAUGUGAUCGUCUCUCGCAUAUCAAUAGCGGAGGAAAAGAAACUAACAAGGAUUCCCCUAGUAACGGCGAGUGAAGCGGGAAGAGCUCAAAUUUGAAAUCUUAAAGGGUUUCCCUUUACGAAUUGUAGUUUAAAGAAGUGUUUUCUGUUGAGGUUUUGGUAAAAGUUCUUUGGAAUAGGACAUCAUAGAGGGUGAGAAUCCCGUAUUUGACCUUUACUUUCAACUUUGUGAUACACUUUCAAAGAGUCGGAUUGUUUGGGAAUGCAGUCCAAAAUGGGUGGUAAAUUUCAUCUAAAGCUAAAUAUUGGCGAGAGACCGAUAGCGAACAAGUACCGUGAGGGAAAGAUGAAAAGAACUUUGAAAAGAGAGUUAAACAGUACGUGAAAUUGUCAAAAGGGAAGCGUUUGACACCAGUGUUGUUUUUCUGAAAAUCAAUUAAAGAACUGUUUAUGCUAAGUUGUUUAGACUUUAUCAGCUAACUGUUUAGUUUUGAGCUUUUCUUUAAUGCACUUUUCAGUUAACAAGUCAACAUCAAUUUCUUUUGCUGUAAAAAAGCUUGAGGAAGGUGGCUUGAGAUUCGUCUUAAGUGUUUAUAGCCUCUUGCCUAUGCAGUCGGAGAGAUUGAGGUCUGCAGCGUAGAUCCUUCGGGGCUAAAUGCAUUUGUGCUAAGUUAUAGCAUUUUAUAGACAACUUGUUGACUAUGAUUUGUCUUGUAGCUUACUCGCUUAUGUUAUUUUACCUACGCUUAGGAUGUUGAGUAGCGACAUACGCAC